UUGUUGAGUCGGAAGUGAGAACCUUUUGGUCGCUGUAGCUCUGAGGUGUCGUUCCUGCCCUUUCAGGCUCUGGUACUUUUAUUUUCAUGUGUAAGCUCAAUGACUAAGUCUAACCUGGGAUCUCCACCGAGGUUCUCAACAGGUGACCGAUCAACCCUCCUUUUUUCCUCUGCUCCCCCUAGGGCUGGAUGGAGGACACCUUAAAGUGAAAUGACAGACCAGGAGAAUAACAACAACAUCUCAAGUAACCCCUUUGCUGCUCUUUUUGGCUCCCUGGCUGAUGCCAAGCAGUUUGCAGCAAUCCACAAAGAGCAGCUGAAACAGCAGUCUGGUAAGUAGAGGAGCCAAUAGCAGCAGAUGCCCCGUCCUAGAACCAGGUCUGCCCAGAUCUUCCUGAGGAAGGAUUCUUUAGGAAAUAAACCACAAUUAGAACUUAAGUUUGGGGCCGAAGUUGUUUUGCUUUUACCAUCCGUCCAUCCAUCUGUCUGUCUGUCUCUGUUGGUGAGAGCAAAAGUUGGUUUGAUGUUAGUUGUCGUGUCUCAUUUUGUUUGGGACCUUCCCCUCUCCUGUCUUCUCAACUCACAUAAAAAGAGACUGUCUAACAGGUGGGUCCACAGGACACCUAGCCAGUUGUGAUCCCAAAGCUGUCGAGUUGUUUAGUCAAGGCGGGGGAAAGGUCUGUUAGUAGCUUUUUAACAUAGGAAACCAAGGUGGUGUGGUAAAUAGGCUGCAUACAGUUGUAGAAACCAGAUAUAAGCCAGAAAUGUUUUCUGACCAAAGAAGAGUUGUUAAUUCCAGCACUUUAAAAGACCUCUCAGGUGAAGUGUAACUUUGGUUCUCCUCAGUGUCCCCCUUUGUAGCUUACUGCGGUGAGAACAGACUGCUGAGGGUUGAAUCCUUUGCUUUAAA
rnacentral:lncRNA from 1 species